rnacentral:sRNA from 1 species
GUCAGGUGUGGUGGUGCACACCUGUAAUCCCAGAUGCUGGGGAGGCUGAGGCAGGAGGAUCGAAAGUUCAAAGCCAGACUCAGCAAAAGCAAGGCACCAAGCAACUCAGUGAGACCCAGUCUCUA